GAUGAACGCUAGCGGCAGGCCUAAUACAUGCAAGUCGAACGAUAGAAGAGGGCUUGCUCUCUUCGAAAGUGGCGCACGGGUGCGUAACGCGUAUGCAACCUACCUUAAUCAGGGGGAUAGCCCGAAGAAAUUCGGACUAACACCGCAUAAAAUCACAGUACAGCAUUGUACAAUGAUCAAAUACUUAUAGGAUUAAGAUGGGCAUGCGUGACAUUAGCUAGUUGGCGGGGUAACGGCCCACCAAGGCGACGAUGUCUAGGGGAUCUGAGAGGAUGACCCCCCACACUGGUACUGAGACACGGACCAGACUCCUACGGGAGGCAGCAGUAAGGAAUAUUGGUCAAUGGAGGCAACUCUGAACCAGCCAUGCCGCGUGCAGGAAGACAGCCCUCUGGGUCGUAAACUGCUUUUAUUCGGGAAUAAACCUACUUACGUGUAAGUAGCUGAAUGUACCGAAGGAAUAAGGAUCGGCUAACUCCGUGCCAGCAGCCGCCGUAA
rnacentral:rRNA from 1 species